UGAGGAAUAUUGGUCAAUGGACGAGAGUCUGAACCAGCCAAGUAGCGUGCAGGACGACGGCCCUCUGGGUUGUAAACUGCUUUUAGUUGGGAACAAAAAAGGCGACGUGUCGCCUCUGGAGUGUACCAUCAGAAAAAGGACCGGCUAAUUCCGUGCCAGCAGCCGCGGUAAUACGGAAGGUCCAGGCGUUAUCCGGAUUUAUUGGGUUUAAAGGGAGCGUAGGCCGUGGAUUAAGCGUGUUGUGAAAUGUAGACGCUCAACGUCUGAAUUGCAGCGCGAACUGGUUCACUUGAGUAUGCGCAACGUAGGCGGAAUUCGUCGUGUAGCGGUGAAAUGCUUAGAUAUGACGAAGAACUCCGAUUGCGAAGGCAGCUUGCGGGAGCACAACUGACGCUGAAGCUCGAAGGUGCGGGUAUCAAACAGGAUUAGAUACCCUGGUAGUCCGCACAGUAAACGAUGGAUGCCCGUUGUUAGUUCACUUAGGAAUUAGCGACCAAGCGAAAGCAUUAAGCAUCCCACCUGGGGAGUACGCCGGCAACGGUG
rnacentral:rRNA from 1 species